CUGCUCCAGAGAGAGCAAUGAGCAUGAACAUGCUUUGGGAAAAAGUAAAACUAUUGUUUUUCCUCCUCUUUAGCUUUUCCAGGGGCAGAGAAAGAAGAAAGACAAGGCAGAAGGUCAUGCGUGACAAGCAACUGCAGACCACUGUCUUGGUAUCUGAGAUGAUAGAAUCAGAUAGCACAUUUGACGUGGGGUCUUCAUCUGGGGGCAAAGACAUUCACCAUCACUGUGAAGCCCAGAGAGCGUCGUGGCAGAUCAAGUAACGUAAGAAAUCAUUUCAGAAUAACACACAGGAUUUAAAGCUCGGCCUGCACAAGUAAAUCCUUCAUUCCUCCUCUCUACAUUCCAACCUUCUGAUAUACUUCUUCAAUAUGCUAAGUUUGUAAAGUAUACAAAUACAGAAGUAUUCAUCUGCAUAGAAACUAUUUUUUAAAUAAAAUAUUAUGUUUACACUUGCUUACAUCUAUUUUCUUUAUAUCAAUUAGAUUAUUCUCACAUGGCAUGAACUUGAAAAUAUAAUGUAGUACUU
rnacentral:lncRNA from 1 species